UAGGAUCAUAUGAUGAUUAGAAGCAUAGUUCAAAUGAAAUCUUUGUGAUUAUAAAAUAUUUUUUAGUUUUUUCGAUCCUAUCUGAUUGACUCAU